rnacentral:rRNA from 1 species
GAUGAACGCUGGCGGCGUGCCUAAUACAUGCAAGUCGAGCGAACGGACGAGAAGCUUGCUUUUCUGAUGUUAGCGGCGGACGGGUGAGUAACACGUGGAUAACCUACCUAUAAGACUGGGAUAACUUCGGGAAACCGGAGCUAAUACCGGAUAAUAUUUUGAACCGCAUGGUUCAAAAGUGAAAGACGGUCUUGCUGUCACUUAUAGAUAGAUCCGCGCUGCAUUAGCUAGUUGGUAAGGUAACGGCUUACCAAGGCAACGAUGCAUAGCCGACCUGAGAGGGUGAUCGGCCACACUGGAACUGAGACACGGUCCAGACUCCUACGGGAGGCAGCAAUAGGGAAUCUUCCGCAAUGGGCGAAAGCCUGACGGAGCAACGCCGCGUGAGUGAUGAAGGUCUUCGGAUCGUAAAACUCUGUUAUUAGGGAAGAACAUAUGUGUAAGUAACUGUGCACAUCUUGACGGUACCUAAUCAGAAAGCCACGGCUAACUACGUG